rnacentral:rRNA from 1 species
GUGGGGAAUAUUGGACAAUGGGCGAAAGCCUGAUCCAGCCAUGCCGCGUGUGUGAAGAAGGUCUUCGGAUUGUAGCACUUUAAGUUGGGAGGAAGGGCAGUAAGUUAAUACCUUGCUGUUUUGACGUUACCGACAGAAUAAGCACCGGCUAACUUCGUGCCAGCAGCCGCGGUAAUACGAAGGGUGCAAGCGUUAAUCGGAAUUACUGGGCGUAAAGCGCGCGUAGGUGGUUUUGUAAGUUGGAGGUGAAAUCCCCGGGCUCAACCUGGGAACUGCAUCCAAAACUGCAUGACUAGAGUACGGUAGAGGGUAGUGGAAUUUCCUGUGUAGCGGUGAAAUGCGUAGAUAUAGGAAGGAACACCAGUGGCGAAGGCGACUACCUGGACUGAUACUGACACUGAGGUGCGAAAGCGUGGGGAGCAAACAGGAUUAGAUACCCGGGUAGUCC